UGGCUCAGUGGUAGAGCGCUCGCCUCGCAUGCGUGAGGCCCUGGGUUCGAUUCCUCAG
rnacentral:tRNA from 1 species